UGGGGAAUAUUGCACAAUGGGGGAAACCCUGAUGCAGCGACGCCGCGUGAGCGAAGAAGGUUUUCGAAUCGUAAAGCUCUGUCCUAUGAGAAGAUAAUGACGGUAUCAUAGGAGGAAGCCCCGGCUAAAUACGUGCCAGCAGCCGCGGUAAUACGUAUGGGGCGAGCGUUGUCCGGAUUUAUUGGGCGUAAAGCGAGCGCAGGCGGUUAGAAAAGUCUGAAGUGAAAGGCAGUGGCUCAACCAUUGUAGGCUUUGGAAACUGUUUAACUUGAGUGCAGAAGGGGAGAGUGGAAUUCCAUGUGUAGCGGUGAAAUGCGUAGAUAUAUGGAGGAACACCGGUGGCGAAAGCGGCUCUCUGGUCUGUAACUGACGCUGAGGCUCGAAAGCGUGGGGAGCGAACAGG
rnacentral:rRNA from 1 species